GUAUGCCUCCAGGUAGAAUACCUGAAAUAUCAAUGCAACAUCUGAGACUACGAAAUACUUUGCCUUAUUGACAUCAUAAUUCUAAUUACUAAUAUCAGCAAUCAGCAAAAUAAUAGACAUUUCAUGUAUAUAAAGUUGAAUGAAAGCUCACAUUAUAUUAGGGGCAAAUACCCAUGGUUCAUGUUAAAGAAACAAUAACCAACUGCCAGACAGAUGGGCCAGGUGUUUUGUUCCUGAGCUCACCACGGUUCUAUGCUCCAACAAACAGUUACUUAAAUCAUUAACUCAUAUAACAUCCGACCUUUUUUUUAUGUCCAUUCUUAAUUGCCACAGUAGAAUCAUCAUUGAUUUGUGUUAAGCAUAGAUGACAGUUUUGAAUCUUGCCUAACACAUCUUGAAAAGCAAAUGAAGGAGAAAAAUAAUUUAUAAAUAGAAUCCAGUUGGCAGAAGUUUCCAACAGGUAGAGUAUGGAGAAAUUAUAAACCUCAAAAACAAUCAAGUCGAUGAUAGUCCAACAAUUACUUCCCUUGGCAAAGUCUAUACUGUGCCACAUUCUUAAGCCAACAUCCAUGAAGAACAACUCAACUCAACUAAGC
rnacentral:misc_RNA from 1 species